UACGUAGGGGGCAAGCGUUGUCCGGAAUUACUGGGCGUAAAGGGCUCGUAGGCGGCCAACUAAGUCAGACGUGAAAUCCCUCGGCUUAACCGGGGAACUGCGUCUGAUACUGGAUGGCUUGAAUCCGGGAGAGGGAUGCGGAAUUCCAGGUGUAGCGGUGAAAUGCGUAGAUAUCUGGAGGAACACCGGUGGCGAAGGCGGCAUCCUGGACCGGCAUUGACGCUGAGGAGCGAAAGCCAGGGGAGCAAACGGG
rnacentral:rRNA from 1 species